rnacentral:rRNA from 1 species
GACGAACGCUGGCGGCGUGCUUAACACAUGCAAGUCGAGCGGCGCGGCGAACGGGUGAGUAACGCGUGGGUAACUGCCCCCCUCUCUGGGAUAACAGUUGGAAACGGCUGCUCAUACCGGAUAGUGGUGGAUGACUCGCGUCCAACGAGCUUGUUGGUGGGGUAGUGGCCUACCAAGGCGACGACGGGUAGCCGGCCUGGGCGGGCGACCGGCCACAAUAGUCUGCGAGACGGCGCAAACGCGUACGGGAGGCAGCAGAGGAGAAUAUUGCACAAUGGGGGAAAGCCUGAUGCGGCAGCGCCGCGAGCGGAAUGACGGCCUUCGGGAGGUAAACCGCUUUCAGCCAUGACGCGGUAGUGACAGAAGAAGCACCGGCUAACUACGUGCCAGCAGCCGCGGUAAUAC